rnacentral:rRNA from 1 species
GAUGAACGCUGGCGGCGUGCCUAAUACAUGCAAGUCGAACGCACAGUUUAUACCGUAGCUUGCUACACCAUAGACUGUGAGUUGCGAACGGGUGAGUAACGCGUAGGUAACCUGCCUGGUAGCGGGGGGUAACUAUUGGAAACGAUAGCUAAUACCUAAUAAUCUUCAUUAUUCCAUGAUAAUUAAUUGAAAGGUGCACUUGCACAACUACAAGAUGGCCCUGGUUUGUAUUAGCUAGUAGGUGAGGUAACGGCCUACCUAGGCCACGAAACAUAUCCGACCUGGGGGGGUGAUCGGCCACACUGGGACUGAGACACGGCCCAGACUCCUACGGGGGGCAGCAGUAGGGAAUCUUCGGCAAUGGACGAAAGUCUGACCGAGCAACGCCGCGUGAGUGAAGAAGGUUUUCGGAUCGUAAAGCUCUGUUGUAAGAGAAGAACGGGUGGGAGAGUGGAAAGUGCACACUGUGACGGUACCUGACCAGAAAGGCACGGCUAACUACGUG